rnacentral:rRNA from 1 species
CCCUAUGGGGCGGCUACAUGAUAACCCCUGUUACUGAUCUCCUAGCCGAGAUACUCGUCUUACCUCGAUCGUUCUCUCGCCUCAAGAAAUGUAAGCAGAUGUUGGAGGAAGCCGGCGAGAGUGGGGAUUACUACAAGAAACUGAUGGAGGACUUUCCCCUUGCGGAUUUCGAUUAUGAAACAGAACCCGUUUAUGCGCUUCUGGACUUUAGUAAGAAUCGGUCUGGCACAUCACGGCGGUGUCCCUUUGUCUGGCAAAAAGCCUACAACCGAUUUAUCCCAAUCGGGAGUGAGCAGAUCGAAUAUGACGGUGGGUCAGUGAAUAGUUGGCGAGAGCGAUGGAAUAUCGCUAAGCCCAAGCAACCAAUCAACAGGAAUAAAUGAAUGGGCGGGAGGGC